rnacentral:lncRNA from 1 species
GCUGCUGACAUUCAUCUUCAUGCUGCUAAGAAGAGAACAGCGACCGACGUCGGAUCAUCUGGAAUGAUGAAGAAGAGUCGGGUUGAUCCGGAGUCAGAACCGACGAGGAAGUCCGACAUUCCAUCAGUGAUGGCUCCCAGCAUUGAGUCAGUUAUAGCAUUGUCAGCUCAGACAAUGCUUCCUUCUAUCGAAGUACCAUCGAUCAGAGUUAAGAGGGCG